GCAGGCCACGUCAUCACAAAGUGUCCGACGCAGUGAGAAGGGGCAUCCUUCACAGAAAUUCAAAAUUAAAAUGGGCGUUGGUUCACUCAGAAGAUGCUGGACAGUCUGUACAACUUUACCUCGUCCUUCGCCGUGUCGCAGGCCCAGAUGACCCCGACCCCCACGGAGACAUUCAAUCCCGUCCAGCUGCAUCCUCAAAUGGUAUGAAAACUCUCAGAGGAGGAUGGCACAGAACCCGAACUUCUGGAAAAACUGAUGAAAGCCGAGACACUGGAGGAGAACAUGAGACCACAGAGGGAACCUGGACAGUUUCCACAGAGCCUCACGGUUCAAAUAAAAGUCUCUUUUCAUCCA